GAAAUGCGAUACGUAAUGUGAAUUGCAGAAUUCAGUGAAUCAUCGAAUCUUUGAACGCACAUUGCGCCCGCCAGCAUUCUGGCGGGCAUGCCUGUCCGAGCGUCAUUUCAACCCUCAGGCCCAGCCUGGCGUUGGGGCACCGCGCAGCGCGCGCGGGCCCUGAAAUACAGUGGCGAGCCCGCCUGGACUCCGAGCGUAGUAGCACAUACCCUCGCUCAGGGCGUCCAGGCGCGCGUCUGCCGUAAAACCCCCAACUUACAAAGGUUGACCUCGGAUCAGGUAGGAAUACCCGCUGAACUUAA
rnacentral:misc_RNA from 1 species